rnacentral:rRNA from 1 species
AUUGAACGCUGGCGGCAGGCUUAACACAUGCAAGUCGAGCGCGCGGCGGACGGGUGAGUAAUGUCUGGGAAACUGCCUGAUGGAGGGGGAUAACUACUGGAAACGGUAGCUACUACCGCAUACCAUCAGAUGUGCCCAGAUGGGAUUAGCUAGUAGGUGGGGUAAGGGCUCACCUAGGCGACGAUCCCUAGCUGGUCUGAGAGGCUUACCAGCCACACUGGGAAGUAGGAAUGGUCCAGCCUCCUACGGGAGGCGGCAGUGGGGAAUAUUGCACAAUGGGCGCAAGCCGUAUGCAGCCAUGCCGGGCGUGUGAAGAAGGCCUUCGGGUUGUAAAGCACUUUCAGCGAGGAGGCGUUACUCGGAGAAGAAGCACCGGCUAACUCCGUGCCAGCAGCCGCGGUAAUAC